rnacentral:lncRNA from 1 species
GACGAGGUUUGCCGAUUACAGCCAUACAGGCCAUAUUGGUCGCAGCGGGGAUUUCGACAGUGUGAAUUAGGAAGUAUACGUACGUUGUGCCGUUACAAGUAACAGUGAUUUUUUAUUUAGUGGUUCUCAAUCAUGCGCUUCGCUUAGGACCGGAAGUGCUAGUUUUAGAACGUUCGUUGGUUGCAAGAGCGACAUUGGUCCCGUGGGUUCCCCACAUUGUUUUUAGCAUUGCAUGCUAUAUCAAGUCGAACUUCAGCCAUCCAUAGUGUGUGAAGAAUCAAGAACAAAUUAAAUGACAGAAGUUUUGCAACAGUGAACAUAGUGAAGUGGAAGAAAAGACAUUUUAAAGGAUUAGCUACAUCCCUUGAUGCUACCAAGGCAGCCCUUGAGGAUAUCAGACAGUUUGGCUGGACACAGUCUAAUGUCUCCCUUGUGUCAGAAAAGGACUUUGACCACUCUGUGCAGAUGCAUAUCAAUGCAGAAGGACGUGUGGGGUAGAUGAUUCAAUAAUGGCAUGCAAGUCAAAGUUGUGUUUUAUUGUAUUUAGAAACAGACGAUAGAUCCAAUAUUGUUAAACUUUAUAACAGUAAUUAUGAUUAAUUUCAACUUUGCCAGACCAAUAUAUUUGGCAGAUUUGCCUGUUAUUUUUAAUAUUCAUUAAAUUAAUUUUCCAAAAUGAUAGGAUAAAUGAUAUGAUAAUGAUUUUAGUCAUGAAUAUUUGAAUUAAGAUCAGAACAAACAGGGAGGGUCACCCAAAAAUGUGAUAGUCUCUAUGGGAGGGUUAUGAAAUAAUUGACAAUAAAAUAUAAAGUGCUUUGCAUUUUCUUUUCAGGGAGGGUAGUGUCAAAAAUGAAUAAGAACAUACCAAGUUAUACAUUACCGGUCCCUUUAAUGUAAUAUACAUACAUAGUUUUUAGUUGAUGGUUCAGGUUGUGCUUUACAGUUUUUUAUCAGUGUUUAUGUUGGACUUCCAAUUAAUGAUAGAUAUUAAAUAUCCAUAAUAAGUAAGAUAAAUACUUCUACAGUCUCAUCCUAAUUUGUCAAAAUUUGAAUUUCAAUAUAGCUUCCAAUAAUAAAUGAAUGAAUUUGGAUAGAAUUUCUAUUGUCCGAAAUCCUAAUGUACUGUCUUUUGUAUUUGGUGUGGUACCUUGUGGGUAAAGCGUUCUCUGAAACCCCGAGUUCGAUUCACCACAUGGGUACAAUGUGUGAAGCCCAUUGCUGGAAUAUUGCUAACAAGCUGCAUGAAACUAUACUAUCUCACUGGCUCAUUAUGUUGUAUUUUGAGAUCACUUGCAUGACCUGUGUGAUUGAAAGUUUUGAUUACUAUGAAUAGUUCUGUUUUUAUGUAUAAGAACCUAUGUUACUUAGUUUUGCAUUGGCGUUUGAAUCUGACAUGGCGAGGGAGUCUUUCUGCACCCGUUUUUUCCUGUUUUAGCAUUUAAUCACUUUGACCAAAUUCUUAAAAAAUGAAGCACUUGCAAAAAUGCAUGACACGUCAUUUAAAGUGCCCUCAGUGCACACAAAAAGUUGCAUUUACUGAAGUUCAUUAAUGACCAAGCCACGUUAAGUUUUAUACAUGGCUGAGUAAUUUAGGGGUGUUCCCAUAAUUUUUGUGUGUAGUAUAUUUGAUGUAAUGCCACAGCAAAAUUUAGGUGAGCCUUGUGGCUCUACAGGUAUUGUUUUGGAAAAACGGAUACAUUUUUCUAUUUUCUGUACACUUUUCUGUUUGCAAUUGCUUAUUUACAUGUUCAAAGAUUGGUUAAAUAUCAGUUGCAAGAUAAAUUGUCAAUACCUUACUGUUCGAGAAAAUAACUUUUUACCCUUUGUGUUUCUUAUUUUUGUAAUAACACGUAAAGAUGUCAAAAAUUGUUACACCAGCUACAUUUUAGAAGAUUCUGAUGAAUAAUCCUCCCCAGAACAACCAACACAUUCACCUCAGAAAGUGAUGAUUCUGAAUGAAUAAUGCCACGUGAGUGUGACUGUGGGUGGUUUUUAUUACGACACUUAUCAAGUCUGAAAGAAUUUAUGCCACAAGCACUGUGACUAUGUCCAGGUUGUGACACUGACUAUACGAAUCUGAAUGACUUUUGUGGUUUACGGCAGAAACAUAAUUGACCUUAGAUAUUCUUCUUCCAUGAAAUUCUUCUGAGAUUUGACCAAUUUGUUUAUUUAGAAAAUGGCAUUCAAGCAUCUGUUCUGUAAGUUCUUGCAAAUACCACUUACCAUACUUAUGCUAGUUCCUCUCCUUGCUUGAUCAAAUUGAAAUUUCAUAUAAUCAAUAAAUAUUAUUUUUUGCCCAAAACAUUAAGUGUUUUACUUCAUGG